ACACGCUGGCGGCGUGCCUAAUACCAUGCAAGUCGAACGGUCUUUCUAUGGAAGCUUGCUUCCACUGAGAAGAGUAGUGGCGAAACGGGUGAGUAACGACGUGGGGUAACCCUGCCCAUAAGAGGGGGAUAACAUCCGGAAACGGGUGCUAAUACCGCAUAGUUUUCUUGAUCGCAUGAGUCGGGAAAGGAAAGACGGCCUUUGUGCUGUCGCUUAUGGAUGGACCCGCGGCGUAGUUAGUUAGUUGGUGAGGUAACGGCUCACCAAGACGAUGAUACGUAGCCGACCUGAGAGGGUGAUCGGCCACAUUGGGACUGAGACACGGCCCAAACUCCUACGGGAGGCAGCAGUAGGGAAUCUUCCGCAAUGGACGAAAGUCUGACGGAGCAACGCCGCGUGAGUGAAGAAAGGUUUUCGGAUCGUAAAACUCUGUUGUCAGAGAAGAACAAGUUGGAGAGUAACUGCUCCAGCCUUGACGGUAUCUGACCAGAAAGCCACGGCUAACUACGUGCCAGCAGCGGC
rnacentral:rRNA from 1 species